AAAUAGAAGCUGAUUCAAGGAGAUAUUUGAGUGGAUCAAAUGGCCUCGUUCACAAUGGCCAUUGUCAAGCUUAAGAUCAACCCCAUUUUUUUCCUCCUGACUCCUGAGGUGAGGAAAAAGAGACAAGAGUUUGGCAGCAAGUAACUUCCAGAGCUGGGAAUCAAGCUAAGGUGGAAUAUAUGGCUCUUUUAAGGAAUGUAAUAUUAUCUAGAAAAACAAAACUCAUAGAUAAAGCAGCAUGAUAUAGUGGAAAGAGGUGGAAUCUGGCUUUGAAGACCUGAGUUAACAUCAAAGCUUGCUGACAUGGUGUAUCCUGAAAUGGAGAGAGUUAAAUGAAGAAUUUGAAAUCCUCCUAAGGCCAGAAACCUGCGCGUGCUUUGGAUGUCUGUCAGACUGCAGAGAUCUGUUUCAUUGUUGACUGCUUUAGGUGAAAAUGAACAUCAGUCCAUGAAAGUUUUUGGCAUUCUAUUACCCUCAGUCAAAUGCAAUUUAAAACUGACACAGAGCUAAAUGAAGAAAACAAACAAACAAAAAUGUUAAAAGUGACAUUCAUUUUUUUUAAAUGUGUGUAAGAUUAAGGAAAACUGUAUUUGAAAGUCAUUUUAAUUAAGUAUACAAUCUACCUGGUUCUUGGCAAAAAUAACACAAAAUUUUAAAAGUAUUAACAUGGCAACAUUGUGAUAUACAUGUUGUCACUUGACAGAGCUGAGUCUGAACUUUUGGAAAUGAUCUCUUUUGGCUUUUAGAACACUGCCAUCGCCAGCAGCAACUUAUAAUUGUCUGACUUUUCCUUAGUCAUCUUUGGAUCAUCUUCCUUCAUACAUUUUCAAAGGCUGUAGCUCCUCGAUGUUUAAUUCUCAACCUUUCCUCUUCUCCUUAGUAUAUAUUCCUGGGCGAACUCCUCAGAUGACACAGAAUAUCUACUAUUGGAUUUAUGGGUUUAUGAGCCAGGACUCAAACCUAUAUGUCUAAUGAGCAUCCUUUAGGAAUUUCAAAAUUACCACUGUAUAAACAUCUCCUUUAUUUUUAUUUUCAUUUUCUAUCCCAGCCUCCUCAAUAUGCUUCUCCUAAAAUAUCCCCCAGUUUAAUUAACCACUGACCUCACCUAAACUAGAUUCUUAGUCUCCUAUUUCUUUUCUCUCCCAUUCAUGACUAAUCAGUCAUUAACUGCCACCUCAGACGUGGAGGCUGGAUUGCUUUUCCUUCUCUCUGCAUAAUAGGAUUUUGAAUUAGAUUAUUCAUCCUGGAACAGUCUCAUGACCAACUUCUUCCAACCACUUAUUUCUCCUUCUCAUAGUUCAUUCUCUACUCAUAGCUCGUGGGACCACUGUUUACCUAUAAAACAAAAUUCUAAAUACAGUCAUGUUUAUUGAUUGCUCAUUGCCUACAAGCCAUUGUUCAGAUUUCUUGUCUUGUCAGGGAAGUUUCCCUUAUGACAUAUCUUCAAUGAUAAGUUCUAUGCCCCAGCCUAACUGAAGUUCCUCAAAUACACUGUGUCUUUCAUACUUUCUGAAGCAUUCUCUUGUCUCUGCUUAAAGCUUCAUCUUUUUUCUCCAUUUUCUUUGUCUAUUGUGCUCUUUUACAUAAUUCCAAAUUUAUAUUAAAAGUUGAUUUUCAUGCAAUGCCUUGAUCAAUUCUACUACAGAGUUGGUUAUUUUCUUAUCUGUGGUACCAUAAAAUCUAGGAGAGUACUUACAAUACUAUAGUAUAUAGUUUAUGAUCUAUGAGUUUAUGAAUUUAUCUUCCAUAUUGAACUUGAUGUUCUUGAGGCCAUAGGCAUUUUUAAGUAUUAUUUCUCUUUUCUUCCUGAGCUUUAAAAAAAGACGCUAAUUGAAAAGAUCUCUCUUUUUUCUAUGUAAUGGAUACAAUAGAACUGUACUUAAUCUUUAGAUUUACAAGACAGGUACUCAGCAGUGGUGCACAGAGAUGUAAAUUGUUUCUUAAAACAGAUUUUUUUGCUGGCCAAGUCUAAUACUUAAAAGACACAUAUUCAUGAAGAUAUGUUGCAACUUUAGAAUGGACAAAAGUAAGUGUCUAUAGCUUUUAUUAAAACAAAAUUCAUUCAAAUUAUCUCAGUUUGAUCAAACCCACUAGUCUUAAAACAAAUAUGUCAGAGAAAAAUGUACCUGUAGGUCAAUUUUCUAUGAUUAGUAUGACAUUUCACUGUCCACAGAAUUUAAAUGGGUCUUCACAUCUUAGUGAAGAGCUGAUCCAUGCAUUUUACUUUUAUCUGCACUGAUUGUAUUGCUUCUGAAAAAGACUACAUUUUUAGCUUUGAAGUCUAGAUCCUGAUUUAGCCAAAGAAGAGGAUAAGAGAAACAGCUUCAGUUGGGUUUUUCAUUUACAGAACAACCUGACCUGAUUUUGAAGCUGAGUGAGUAUGAAGGAGAUAAUUUUCAAUCCCUGUUAACUCCAUUUGGAUGACUAGGGCACUGACCUCCUAAAAAGGAACCAACAAAAACUUUACAAAAUCCUAAUAGCAAUCAUCCACAGUUAUAUUUUCAAUCAUACCAAGUAUCAGAAAUAGAUUUUUUAAAAAAUGCCAGACCAUUAGUAAAUUCCCCUGUCCCUUCCUCAAAUCAGUCAACUUCUCUAUAAAAUGUAAUGGUAUCCUCAGCAAUAGCCCCUCCUAUUUCUUUUCUAAAGAAAGUUUGCAACAUCAAAAUGAAAUCAAGUAAGAAAUUAAAAUGGGCUAUAAUAUGCUACAAGAUAUGAUGUUAUAUUUGUUUCUUGGCUUGAUAAUAAUAUGACUUCUUUCAAGGAAACACAAAUUUUAAAAAUAAAUAAUUGGCUCCUAAAAAUAACAUUUAUUACCAAUAAUUGUCUAUGUUUCUCUUUUCAUAAAUAUUACUACUAUAUAUCAUCACCCAUACUCUACUAGCUAAGGGUCAAAAUAAUCAUUUGUCUAAUAACUAUUUAAAAUAUCAGAGAUUUUGGCCCCAUGAAUCUAAAUAU
ensembl:lncRNA